rnacentral:rRNA from 1 species
CCUACGGGUGGCAGCAGUGAGGAAUAUUGGUCAAUGGGCGGGAGCCUGAACCAGCCAAGCCGCGUGAGGGAAGAAGGUCCAGCGUAUCGUAAACCUCUUUUGUCAGGGAACAAAGUCGGGGACUAGUCCCCGGAUGCGGGUACCUGAAGAAAAAGCAUCGGCUAACUCCGUGCCAGCAGCCGCGGUAAUACGGAGGAUGCGAGCGUUAUCCGGAUUUAUUGGGUUUAAAGGGUGCGCAGGCGGCCUGUUAAGUCAGCGGUAAAAGCCCGGGGCUCAACCCCGGCGAGCCGUUGAAACUGGCGGGCUGGAGUGGGAGAGAGGUACGCGGAAUGCGCGGUGUAGCGGUGAAAUGCAUAGAUAUCACGCAGAACUCCGAUCGCGAAGGCAGCCUACCGGCGCGCAACUGACGCUCAGGCACGAAAGCGUGGGUAUCGAACAGGAUUAGAUACCCGAGUAGUC